CAUUUUGAUGAAUGAUAACAUUAGAGAAAUGGGAAUCUUUUCGAGGGGGGGGGAAGGAUAGGCGGGCGGGCAGGUAGCCAGCAGAUUGGCAUAUCUGACCAGAUGCUUUUCAAGCAGCUGUGGGAUCUUGAUUCCUUCAAUCAUGUCCUACCAGAUGAGAUUACAGGGAAAUCUCUUUACCUGAAAUACUUCUGUGUGCCUCCUUAAACUUCAACAGACCUACACUGAUACA